GGGGAUUUAGCUCAGUGGUAGAGUGCUUGCCUAGCAAGCACAAGGCCCUGGGUUCGAUCCCCAGCUCCG
rfam:Rattus norvegicus chromosome 5, whole genome shotgun sequence.